rnacentral:lncRNA from 1 species
GUUGGAGGUUGGAGGUUGUUGAUUGAAAAACUACCCACUAGAGAGUUUUAUUUAAUAAAGUUGUCAUUACAAGCAUUCAUGAGAAAUGUUGUGUAUUUUGCUUCAAGGAGGUGGAAGACGUCAACCACGUUUUCUUAAGAUAUGGAGUUUUAUUUUCAAGUGGAUGGGAACAGAGGCCUUACCCUUUGUUGAUAUUUCCAACAUGUAUCAACAAUAAAUGUUUAUCCUACUUUUUUAUUCAUAUUCAUCGAACAACAAACCUUUGUUGUUAGUUUAUCUACUCUCUUGAAUUCAACACUAACUUUUCUUCACAAUAGCCAUUAAUGCAUGCACAUAGAAAAAGUUCAUGCGGUACAAAUAUUUGUGGACAAUCAUUCAAAAUCAAGAGAGAAGAAGACAAUCUAAUUUCAUUUCAUGACUAAUUAACAAUUUAGAGUACAAAAUCAAAGUUGCAAAU